rnacentral:rRNA from 1 species
CAGUAGCCGCGGUAAUACAGAGGGUGCGAGCGUUAAUCGGAUUUACUGGGCGUAAAGCGUGCGUAGGCGGCUUCUUAAGUCGGAUGUGAAAUCCCUAAGCUUAACUUAGGAAUUGCAUUCGAUACUGGGAAGCUAGAGUAUGGGAGAGGAUGGUAGAAUUCCAGGUGUAGCGGUGAAAUGCGUAGAGAUCUGGAGGAAUACCGAUGGCGAAGGCAGCCAUCUGGCCUAAUACUGACGCUGAGGUACGAAAGCAUAAGGAGCAAACAGGAUUAGAUACCCCGGUAGUCCCUGUCUCUUAUAC